rnacentral:rRNA from 1 species
AGUUUGAUCCUGGCUCAGGAUGAACGCUAGCUACAGGCUUAACACAUGCAAGUCGAGGGGAAACGAUAGAGAAAGCUUGCUUUUUCUAGGCGUCGACCGGCGCACGGGUGAGUAACGCGUAUCCAACCUGCCCAUCACUUGGGGAUAACCUUGCGAAAGUAAGACUAAUACCCAAUGACGUCUCUAGAAGACAUCUGAAGGAGAUUAAAGAUUUAUCGGUGAUGGAUGGGGAUGCGUCUGAUUAGCUUGUUGGCGGGGUAACGGCCCACCAAGGCGACGAUCAGUAGGGGUUCUGAGAGGAAGGUCCCCCACAUUGGAACUGAGACACGGUCCAAACUCCUACGGGAGGCAGCAGUGAGGAAUAUUGGUCAAUGGGCGAGAGCCUGAACCAGCCAAGUAGCGUGCAGGAAGACGGCCCUAUGGGUUGUAAACUGCUUUUAUAAGGGAAUAAAGUGGGAGUCGUGACUCCUUUUGCAUGUACCUUAUGAAUAAGGACCGGCUAAUUCCGUGCCAGCAGCCGCGGUAAUACGGAAGGUCCGGGCGUUAUCCGGAUUUAUUGGGUUUAAAGGGAGCGUAGGCCGGAGAUUAAGCGUGUUGUGAAAUGUAGACGCUCAACGUCUGCACUGCAGCGCGAACUGGUUUCCUUGAGUACGCACAAAGUGGGCGGAAUUCGUGGUGUAGCGGUGAAAUGCUUAGAUAUCACGAAGAACUCCGAUUGCGAAGGCAGCUCACUGGAGCGCAACUGACGCUGAAGCUCGAAAGUGCGGGUAUCGAACAGGAUUAGAUACCCUGGUAGUCCGCACGGUAAACGAUGGAUGCCCGCUGUUGGUCUGAAUAGGUCAGCGGCCAAGCGAAAGCAUUAAGCAUCCCACCUGGGGAGUACGCCGGCAACGGUGAAACUCAAAGGAAUUGACGGAAGGGCAU